rnacentral:rRNA from 1 species
UUUGGCGACCAUAGCAUUGUGGACCCACCUGAUUCCAUGCCGAACUCAGAAGUGAAACGCAAUAGCGCCGAUGGCAGUGUGGGGUUUCCCCAUGUGAGAGUAGGACAUCGCCAAGC